GCGAAUGGAUUGAGAGCUUGCUCUCAAGAAGUUAGCGGCGGACGGGUGAGUAACACGUGGGUAACCUGCCCAUAAGACUGGGAUAACUCCGGGAAACCGGGGCUAAUACCGGAUAACAUUUUGAACUGCAUGGUUCGAAAUUGAAAGGCGGCUUCGGCUGUCACUUAUGGAUGGACCCGCGUCGCAUUAGCUAGUUGGUGAGGUAACGGCUCACCAAGGCAACGAUGCGUAGCCGACCUGAGAGGGUGAUCGGCCACACUGGGACUGAGACACGGCCCAGACUCCUACGGGAGGCAGCAGUAGGGAAUCUUCCGCAAUGGACGAAAGUCUGACGGAGCAACGCCGCGUGAGUGAUGAAGGCUUUCGGGUCGUAAAACUCUGUUGUUAGGGAAGAACAAGUGCUAGUUGAAUAAGCUGGCACCUUGACGGUACCUAACCAGAAAGCCACGGCUAACUACGUGCCAGCAGCCGCGGUAAUACGUAGGUGGCAAGCGUUAUCCGGAAUUAUUGGGCGUAAAGCGCGCGCAGGUGGUUUCUUAAGUCUGAUGUGAAAGCCCACGGCUCAACCGUGGAGGGUCAUUGGAAACUGGGAGACUUGAGUGCAGAAGAGGAAAGUGGAAUUCCAUGUGUAGCGGUGAAAUGCGUAGAGAUAUGGAGGAACACCAGUGGCGAAGGCGACUUUCUGGUCUGUAACUGACACUGAGG
rnacentral:rRNA from 1 species